GAUUAGUAUAUGCAGUAGCAAACACAAGUGUGCCUGCGUUUGAUUUGCAAUCAUACUGUAUGUCAUGACCAUACAAAUAAAAACUCACCUUCUAGAAACACAAGGUGUUUUUAGUUUAUAAAUAAUUAACAUUUGUGUUAACACAACUAAAGUUAUUGUCUGUCUGAAACCUCGUUGUCUCUCACACAAACAGUGCCACUAACACUAAACAGUGACACUAAUGGUAGGGUCUUUCUCUCAAUGUUCAAAAGCACAUCUUUUAGAAAGAGCCAGGAGUUUUAGUGUAAAACACUUCUCAGGCUGAGCUGGUAUGUUUGCGAGCGUCCUGUAAACAUUUCUGUUGCUAAACAAAACCCGAAGAAAAUGGAGAAUCAAGCCCCUAAUCAACGCAGAGAGGUCAUUGUUGGCCUCCUGCUCAUCUUCAUUGUGAAGUAUGACCCGAAUGAUGUUAAGAAACAGCCGAGACUUAACACAAUGUGUUCUCUACUGUUCUUAUCAACAUCAUCAUAACAGCAUUGGGAUUUGAGUCUGGAGGGUG